AUCGAACGCUGGCGGCAGGCUUAACACAUGCAAGUCGAGCGAGUGGCGGACGGGUGAGUAAUGCAUGGGGAUCUGCCCCAUAGAGGGGGAUCACCACUGGAAACGGUGGCUAAUACCGCAUACUAUAGGUGGAACCUAUAUGGGAUGGGCUAGUGGGUGGGGUAAAGGCUCACCUGGGCGACGAUCGCUCGCGGGUCGGAGGGGAUGAUCAGCCAAACUGGGACUGGGACACGGCCCAAACUCCUACGGGAGGCAGCAGUGGGGAAUAUUGCAAAAUGGGGGCAAUCCGGAGGCAGCCAUGCCGCGUGGAGAGAGCAGGCCUUAGGGUUGUAAGGUACUUUCAGCGGGGCGGCGUUACCGGCAGAGAAAGCAACGGCUAACUCCGUGCCAGCAGCCGCGGUAAUUC
rnacentral:rRNA from 1 species